rnacentral:lncRNA from 1 species
CGGCGAGGCGAGGCCUGCGGAGCGGAGGAAGACAAACAUAAAGAUGAAGUGCUUAAUUCAAGGUCACACAAUGUCGGGGAUGGACCUCCAGAUUUCCUUACUGACCUGCAUUAUCUUGUGGAUACCUGAGUGAAUUCCACACCACCCAUUUUAUAGAUGAAACCACUGAGACAUGGAGCAACUGACUGAGUAGUCACUGCCCCACCCCUGCCUGGAGCCUCACACAUGACUCGUCUCCUCUCAGUGACCACAGGUUGGUUGAGGGGUUUAACAAGGCUA